ensembl:lncRNA
ACCCCUAUAACAUAUAGUGUUCCAAAUGUUAAGCGACUUCAGCUUAUGAUGGGUCCAACUGGUAUUUUUAUGGUGUAAGGGCUGUGUCGGCAUAAGAAAAAGCCAUGCUUUGUUUAGUGAUGUCAGUGCUGUGGCACUGGCUGGGGACAAACUGCUGCAUGCGCAGCUCCUCGUUAGUAUAGUGGACAGUAUCUCCGCCUGUCACGCGGAAGACCGGGGAGAGCUAGAUCCUUUUCUUCUGCUGGACGA